UGUUCUUUUCUUUGAGGCGGCCGUUAGUUGGAGACUGUAGCGGCUGUCUCCUCCGCGCCUCCGCCUCCGCCUCCGCCUCCCUCUGCUCGGGACGGCUGCAGUACGGUGUGCCUCCUCACAACACAGUGCAAUGACCUCUCCGUCAUCUCCUCCCGCGGACCGCCGCCGCAGGCACACGAUAUACCAUGGCCACCGCCGCGCGUCCCCGCACCGCCCCACCGUCCGCGGCGGCCUCAUCACCCACCUCCGCGCCACCAACCCCGGACCCCGCCCCUCCCCCUCCCCCUCCUCCGCCGCCCCCUUCCGCCUCCGCGACUGGGACCCCUCAUCCCCCUCGCACUCCCCUCGCUCGCCGCCCACUCUGCCGCAUUCCAUACCCGCCGCCACCCGCCGCCUCUCCCCGCUCGCGCGCUUCCUCCUCGACGCCCUCCGCCGCCACCACCGCUGGGGCCCUCCCGUCGUCGCGGACCUCUCCAAGCCCCGCCGCGUGCCCCCCACGCUCGUGGCCGAGGUCCUCAGCGCGCGCCCGCCGCCACCUCCCCCGCUCGCCCUCCCCUUCUUCCACUGGGCCGGCCGCCAGAAGGGCUUCCGCCACUGCUUCCCCGCCUUCCACGCCCUCGCCUCGCUCCUCUCCGACGCGGGCCUCCCGGGCGCCGCCGACCAGCUCCCCGACCUCAUCCGCGCCCACGGCAAGCCCGUCUCCCACCCUCAGCUCACCCUCCUCGUCCGCCUCCACACGGCCGCGCGGCGCCCCCUCCGCGCGCUCUACACGCUCCGCAGGUUCCGCCACGAGUUCUCCGUCCAGCCGCAGGUCCACGCCUGCAACCGCGUCCUGGGCGCCCUGGCCGCCGCAGGGCAUGUCGACGACGCGCUCAAGCUGUUCGAUGAAAUGUCAAAGGACGGUGCUGCUGGUGUGAAGCCUAUGCCAGUCACGUUUGCGAUCAUCGUCCGCGCGCUGGGCCAGGCAGGCAUGACGGACAGGAUCCUAGAGAUGAUCGCAAGGAUGCGGGACGAGGUGUGCCGGCCCGACGUCUUUGUGUACACCGCUCUCGUCAAGACCAUGGUGCGCAGGGGCCACAUGGAGGGCUGCAUCAGGGUGUGGGAGGAGAUGGGGAGGGAUGGUGUGGAGCCAGACGCAAUGGCAUAUGCUACAAUGGUUGGGGGGCUAUGCGAUGCUGGGAUGCUAGAGGAGGCCGCUAAGUUGUUCGAUGAGAUGACCAAAAAGGGGCUGUUGGUUGACCGGGCUGUGUAUGCGUCCCUCAUCGAUGGGUAUGUUGCUGCUGGGAGGGUUGGGGAUGGCUGUAGAGUGUUGAAGGGAAUGGUGGAUGCUGGCUACCGUGCUGACCUCGGAACAUACAACACACUCAUUGCCGGGCUGUGUGAUAUAGGUCGGGAGGACAAGGCGUAUAAGAUGUUUCAGAUUGUCCUUCAGGAGGAUCUCGCGCCAAGCUCUCAGACAGUUUCACACUUGCUACUUUGCUACGCUGAUAAGGGUGAGAUGGUUAAUUUUUUUGGAUUGGUCGACAAAUUGGUCGAGCUGGGCUUGCCUGUCGUAGAAUUUUUAGCGGACUUCCCGAGGCUCUUUGCAUGCAAGGACGGAAGGGAAUUGAAGGCUGUGGAAGUGUUUAGGACUUUGAGACAAAAAGGUUAUUGCAGUGUUACCAUUUACAACAUUCUUAUCGAGAAUCUGCUCAAGAUCAAGGAGAGGAAGAUAGCUCUAGUACUGUUUGAGGAAAUGAAACUUUCAGAUGACUGCAAACCAGAAUCAUGUACGUAUAGUCAUAUGAUCCCUUGUUUUGUGGAUGAAGGAACUAUUCAAGAGGCUUGCUCCUGCUACAACUCCAUGAUCAAGGCAGAAUGGACACCAAGUAUCUCUGCCUAUUGGUCUCUCGUGAAAGGGCUAUGCAAGGUUGGGGAGAUAAAUGCGGCUGUCUCACUCGUAACAGAUUGUCUUGGAACUGUAGAGAAUGGGCCAAUGGAGUUCAAGUACACCUUAACUAUUAUUGAAGCUUGCCGGUCAAAAAGCCCAGAGAAGGUCAUGAAAGUGGUGGAUGAGAUGAUUGAGUUAGGUUACUCAAUAGAAGAGCUUACCUUCUCUGCUAUCAUCUAUGGCUUCUGCAAGCAUGCAACUUCAACUGGAGCUAGACAAGUGUUCUCUGUUAUGAGAGACCGGGAUAUUAUUUCAGAAGCUAAUUUUAUUGUUUACGAGGAUAUGCUGAAUGAGCAUCUCAAGAAGGUCACUGCAGACUUGGUGAUAUCUGGAUUGAAGUUUUUCAACCUUGAAUCAAAACUGAAAUGGAGAAGCAGAGUUGAUUGAAAUAUAUUUGUACAGAUAUUAGUUACUUGGAAGAUCUCUAGCUGGACAAGCGUGUGGGCCUCGUACUGGAUAUAUUGACUAGCUAGGAUCUCUCAUUGGGCAUUUGGGCUUACUGGUAAAUGAGGCUGGUCACAUUUACCUCGUUGUUGCUUACCUGCAGACUGGCCCUUCCCAGCAGAAGACAUCGACCACACUAAACCACAAAAAAUACAGAGCUUUGGGCAUCAUCAGAAAGAGGUCAAAAAACAACAUAGCCAGCUGGUGGAGCAAAUGAGAUCCUGUGGUGCUACCUACAAGGUUGAUGCAGAGAUAUGGAAAGCAUACGCGGUCUUCCAUUUGCAGUGUGGUCUUCAAUUGGCUACCUAUUCUGCAAGUUGGACAUGGGGGUAGCUGUUGCCAUAUAGCGUAAGGCACCCAAAAGCACUUGUCGCACGACAUGGGGUAAGAAGUGGACUCUUUCAAUAUGUCGAGGUUGCAAUGCAAAUGGUUUCAGAGUUCAGGGAGAAGUGAACAUUUACCUAGAGUUUGGGAUUGAAAAGCGUUUUUUUUUUCAAAAAAAAAAUAUACGAGGAACUAGACAUAUUUUCUUCCUGUAAGAAGACAGUCACACAAAUUUGAGUCAAACAGGACUUGAAUCCUCAAGCGGUGGCAUUGUACAUGCGCACCAGGCCCAACUGUGUUAAUCUCAAUACCUACUAUAGAUGGUAUUCAUUUAAUUUUUUGUUUUUCCGUUUACUUAUUACUUGAUGUUUAUCCAAGUAACUGGGGUUGGAAGUUGCAAG